UGCCCAGUAGCGGGGGAUAACUACGCGAAAGCGUAGCUAAUACCGCAUACGCCCUACGGGGGAAAGCAGGGGAUCGCAAGACCUUGCACUAUUGGAGCGGCCGAUAUCGGAUUAGCUAGUUGGUGGGGUAACGGCUCACCAAGGCGACGAUCCGUAGCUGGUUUGAGAGGACGACCAGCCACACUGGGACUGAGACACGGCCCAGACUCCUACGGGAGGCAGCAGUGGGGAAUUUUGGACAAUGGGGGAAACCCUGAUCCAGCCAUCCCGCGUGUGCGAUGAAGGCCUUCGGGUUGUAAAGCACUUUUGGCAGGAAAGAAACGUCGCGGGUUAAUACCCCGCGGAA
rnacentral:rRNA from 1 species